rnacentral:rRNA from 1 species
GACGAACGCUGGCGGCGUGCUUAACACAUGCAAGUCGAGCGGUAAGGCCCUUUCGGGGGUACACGAGCGGCGAACGGGUGAGUAACACGUGGGUGACCUGCCCUUAGCUCUGGGAUAAGCCUGGGAAACUGGGUCUAAUACCGGAUAUGACUCCAUAACGCAUGUUGUGGGGUGGAAAGCCUUGUGCGGCUAGGGAUGGGCCCGCGGCCUAUCAGCUUGUUGGUGGGGUGAU